rnacentral:pre_miRNA from 1 species
UUGGUACUCCCUCCGUUCUGAAUUACUUGUCUUAGAUUUGUCUAGAUACAGAUGUAUCUAGACUCAUUUUAGUGCUAGAUAUAUCCGUAUCUAGACAAAUCGAAGACAAGUAAUUUGGAACGGAGGGAGUAGAUA